UUAUCCUGAAAACUUUCCUCAGGUGGAGCAACUUCAUUCAGUGCCAUGCUGAUAUAAUCCAGCUGGCAUUAAGUUGACCACCAGUUCUCAAUCCAUAGCAUUGAUUUUACUAUGGUUGCUUUGUAGUAUAACUUCAAGUCAGGGAUUGUGAUGCCUCCUGACUUGUCUUUGUUGCUGAGAACUUUCUUUGCUAUUCUAGGUCUCUUCUCACUCCAGAUGAAUUUUAGGAGUGAUUUCUCUAGAUCUAUGAGGUAACAAAACAUGAAUCAUGGAUGGACACAGAGUGAUAUUCAAAGAUUUGAGUUCAACAUGCUUGCCUUAAUCUGUAAAUAUUGAUGUGAUAUGCAUUGAUUACAUCUUCAACAUGAGGUUAUAGUGGAGCUGACAGAGAAGAAGCAAUGAAUGUCCCUUGGUGCAGACUGGACAGUCAUAUUCCAGAUGUCCAACAGCUAAGGUUUAACCAAACAAAAAGGAGGGAUAUGUUAGAGCCAUUGAAGCUGAAUACUCAUGCAGGGCUGUGAUGUGGCCCAGGCAUGAUUAAACUGAGAAUGAAGAGAUGCCUCCUGGGACAAGACAGGCCACAGCUGAGGCCACCUAGAUAUUUUCUGUGGGAUAGUUCUCUGCAGUUGGCAUCAUCUGUUUCUCUGAGGGGUCUUGAACCUCUACCAAGAUCCUUAUCAGGUUUCCUCCAUUGUCCACUCAACUCCUGCCAGCAUGAGUUGGCCAGCUGGCUAGCAGAGUGAUGAGCUCUGCCAUGGAUCACUCUUCUCAUGCAGCCCUGAAGACCAUGUUGUGUUUCUCAUUUCUUAGAGCCUUCUUGGGACCCUUUAUUGCCAUCUUGGUGCCUAAGAAAAGACCCCAACAUGAAAUAUAAAAUGUAUCUGUUUUAAAGACUCAGCACUGAAAUCUGGUAUUGUUGGAUGAUGACAGGACCAAGUAUCAAACCUGUUUAAGACAAUUCAAGUAUAUAGAAGUUGUUCUUUUGCACUGUAUUUUUUUUUUGGUUCACCAAUGCCAAAUCCUCUUACAUGACACAACUUUCCUCAAGACAUUUCCAAUCCAAUCAAUGACCUACAUCUGAAUUAUUUUCUGUAGGACACACACAUAGAUAUGCAGGUUUUAUGAUAUGUCUCCACCCAGUCAUCCUGAUGAGAAAAUUAACAUUCUGGAGCCAUCUCAGGUCAGAGAGGAGAAACAGAAAUCUAAUUUUCCCUUCCUGUGAGCUGGUGGAAGUCAUAAGGGGAAUGGUGGAAAACUAGCCAACAUGCCCAUGUUGUGAUUCUGUGGAAGCUAUUCCAUUUCUCAGAAGAAAAGCAAGAAACUUACACUUCCUGUGAGCUAACUACUGUAUUGGCUGGGAGAGGAGCACCACAAUCACCUCCUCCCACCACCAUCUGACUGGUUUAGAGGACAUGCUGAGUUGAUAGCAAUGGAGGUAUAAAAACAACUUAAUCCUUGUAUUACUUGAUUGGCUUUGCAGCCUAAGGAUAGUAUUCUUAAGCAUGUAUUUAAAUUGUGAAAUAAUGGUAAAAAAAAGUUGCAACAACUUCAUAAGUAUAUGAAACUUAACACUCUCCUAAACACCCAAUGGGUAACAGAUGAAAAAAGGAAGAAACUUAAAAAUAUCUACAACCUAACAAGAAUAUAGAUGCAAAAUCCUGUACCUUAUGGGAUUCAAUGAAAGCAGUCCAAAUAAGGAAAUUUAUAGUAGUCAAAUCUCACAUCAGGAAAUAGAAAGAACACAAACAAAUAAUGAAGUGUUGCAUCUCAAUCUUCCAGAAGAAGAAUGGCAAGACAAACACAAAUCCCAUACAAGGGAGGAAAUUAUAAGACCAGACAAGAAAGUCAUGCAAUGCAGAACAAGAAAAAUAUUCAAAGGAUUAACAAAUCAAACAGGUGGUUCACUGGAAGAAUAAACAAAAUUGAUUAACCCUUGGACAAUCAUAUCAAAAAAGAAAAAAAUAAAGAUUGAAAAACCAUGCACUGAGGAAUCAGAAGGAUAAAAUAACUACAGAUCUUGUGAAAAUUCAGAAGAUCAUCAAAAUCUACUGGAAAAAUGUAUACUUUCAUAGGUUAGAAAAUAUAGAAAUGCACCGAUACCUAGAUAAAUAUGAAAUGCCAAUUCUGUUCCAAGAAGAUAUAAAAAUUCUGAAAAACACAGUAUCAGUUAAUGAGAAUGAAGAUUUAAUAAAAAUUUAUCAGCUGCUGGGCAUGGUGGUACAGAACUUUGGAGGCUAAGGUACAAGUAUUGUUUUGAGUUUGAGACUAAACAAGGCUACAAAGUGAGCUCAAGGCCAACUUGAACUGAAUGAGAGCUGGUCUCAUGAGCACAUUGAAAAAUAAGAAAAACAAUGACAACAGAAAAGCAAAUGAUCAACAUAAAAAAAGUCUAGGUCCUGGUGGAUUUACUGCUGGAUUCUACAAUAAAUGUAGAAAAAAAAUUUAAGGCCACGGCUGUUUAAUGAUAUUGAAAGAGAAGCUCUUCUCCCUAACUCAUGCCUUGAGGCAAGUAUUACCCCGAUACUAACACCAGAGGAAGACCCAACCAAAAGAAGAAAACUAUGGGACAGUUUUCCUAAUGAACAUAGAAGCAAAAGUCCUUAACAAGACACUAGCAAAGUGAAUGUAGCAAAUAAUAAAGAAGAUUUUAAAACCUGACCAACUUGGAUUCAUCCCAGGAAGGCAGGGAUGUUUCAGUACAUGCAAAUCAACAAAUUUAAAUGUCAUAUCAACACAGGCAAAAACAAAAGUCACAUGGUGAUCAUCUCAAUAAAUGCACAAUAAGCUUUUGAUAAAGUCAAGCACUGAACUGUGAUAAAACCCUACAGUAAAUAACAACAGAUGACCUUUACCUCAAGCUGAUAAAAUAAAAUAAUGACGGGGCUGGGGAUUUAGCUCAGUGGCAUAAGCACCUGCCUUGCAAUUGUGUGGUCAUGAGUACAAUUACCAGUACCAAUAAAAAAGAAAAUGACAAAAAAUUCAGACAAUGACAAAGAAAACCCCGCAUCAUACUAAAUGGAGAAUAACUGAAAACUUUCAUUCUACAGUUAUAAAAGGACAUGGAUGACUACUAUGACCACUCCUAUUCAAUAUAGCUCUGGAAACACUAGACAAAACAAUUAGACAUAAGAGAGAAAUAAGAAUAAGUAUAUAAUAGAAAAUAGUUAAAUUAUCAUUAUUCAAAGAUGAUAUGAUAUUCUAAAUAGAAGAUGCUGAAAACUCCACCAAAACAGUCCUAGAAUUAAUAAGCAAAUUCAAAAAUGUAGCUGGAGACAAAGUUGACAAUCAAAAAUCAAUAGAUUCCUGUACACAAUCAACAAACUCACCAAGAGAGAAGUUACAGAAACCACACCAUUUAAAAUAUCCUCCAAGUAAAUGAAAUACUUGGAAAGAACCUAACAAAGAAAGUAAAGUACUUACAUAUUGAAAAUUAUAGUACUUUGGAAAUGAUAUUGAAGAUUAUCAGAAAAUAGAAAAAUAUCCCCUGCCCAUUCUGAGCAUUGUCUUUUCAUUCUGUUAGUGAUUUCUUUUGAUGUACAAAUAAUUUUUAAUAAGAUGGGGUCACCGUAGUUGAUUCUUUAAAAUGUGUUUUUUGUUCAGGAAGCCUCAUUAGUGUUUCUGUUUUAAUAUUUAGAUCUUUGAUCUAGUUUAACAUAUUUAUUUCAUAAUGAUAGACAUUUCUCCAGUUUAAGUCUUCAGUAGGAGGAAAGUCAUUUUCUUCAGCACCAUUUAUUGAGGAGGCUGUCUCUCUUCCACUGAACAUAUUUGGCUCCUUUGUCAAAGACAAGGUAGCAGAGUGUGUUUGUAGUUCUAUUUGCAUUUUCUAGACUUUUUGGAUGAUUCUCAGGUCUGUUUUUCUGCCAGAACAAUUCUGAUUUUCUGAUAGUAACUUUCUAGUAUUAUAGCAAGUCAGGAAUUGUGAUGCUUCUUGAAUUGCCUUUGUUGCCCAGCAAUGUCUUUGGUGACCUAGAGCAUUUCUGUUUCCAAAUGAAUUUUAGAAAUGUUUUCUCUACAUUUGUGAGCUAUCUUAAUGGUAUUUUUUUUUGGCAAUGCAUUACAUCUAUAUGACAAUUUGAAGUAAGAUUUUUUGAGUUUUCUCUAUAUCCUUGAAGGUAGUUUUACUGGUCUCUUAUACUCACCAGAUGAAACCUAACAGGUAUGAUUCUAAGAGUUUCAAACUGUUGAGUUCUUCUUCCCAAGGAUAUCCACAAUAAUAUGAUAUUUUUGUCUGUUUGUUUGAGACAGGAUUUCCCUAUGCAGUUCAGGAUGACUGUGGACUCACUUCUUAGUCCUGUAAAUUCAAACAGAUUGUCCUACUUCAGCCUCUUAAGUCCUGGGAUUACAGGUGUGCACCGAACGCUUGAAAGAAUUAAUGCUGUUAUUUGAAACAUGAAGAAACAGUCAUGAGAUACUCAUGUAUUCAUUAACUGCCAUUCUCUUAAAGGAAAUAUGUCCAAUUUAACACAUAACCUCAUUGGAAUAUAGGGAAUCACAAGAUAAGUUUCUAUCUCUUAUGGGCUGGUGAUGCCAGUCUAGACUACUGCAGAAACAGGAGAUGUCACAGGUAGGAAUAUGAAUCAAAUGUGAGUAUUAGUAUUAAGAACUCAGAGAGUCUUGUAUUUAGGGAUGAUGAGGAAAAGACCAGUGGAAAACAAUGAGUGACCAAGUGAGAUUAGCUUGUCCUGACUGUAGAUCACAUUUUAUUAUAAGGAUUAACAUCACAAGUUAUGACAUAUUCAAACAUUAUGUGCUUUUUACUCUAGAAAAUAGUAAGGCUUGGCACUGUAGCUCAGCUGUAUUGUAGCUUGGUAUAACAGAUGCCGUCCUGCACCCUGCAUUUAUCUAGUGCCCUGUAUUUGACCCAGGAAAAUUAAAAAAGCACUCAGGGUAUAAGUUCCAUGAGAAAAACAAAAGGAGCUGUAUCCAAAGAAAAAAAGUAACCUCCUAAAAAAAGAAGCAGGAUACAGGUGUCAAAUAAAAAUUCAUUUAAGAUUCUAGCUAAAUUGUUUCAAAGCAGGAUGUCUUUUGUGAUUCUCUCUUUUAAAAAUGCUUAACAAUCCAGUUCAGGGCCACUUGUUUUGAUUCUGAAAUGGGGAAGGGGUCUGUAUACAAGUUGUGUGUUCUGAUCUCAGCUACUUAAAUCCCAAAUUUAUCCUUUGGAUGAUUGAGUUCCUAUACUGUUGUUCACAAACUCACCUCAAGAUGCAGAAAGAUUUACUGACACAAGCAAGCAUCUGGAUUAAAUGUCAGUGCCCCUGAAAUGAAAGAAUAAUAGUGAAAAGAGGGAAGAAAAUGAGAAACACCAUGUGUUAUAAUGCCCACCUCUUUUCCACAGCAUUAAAGAGGCUGAAACAGGAGAAUGGCCAUGUAUUCAAGGACAAUCUAACCUACACAGUGAGAGUGAAAGGCCAGCCAGAACUACAAAGUAAGACUAUGUCUUUAAAAACAAAAAAUAAUAAUGAAAAAUGUAGAAAACCAA